AGGUGUCCAGGUGGGAAUCCUGACAUGUGAGGUCCGGGAGAGGAUCUUGCUCUGUGGAGUCAGGGCCCAGGUAGAGCCCACUGCUCCUUCUCACUGCCCAUGUGAUCUCUGACCAGGAGCUUGUUCUCUAAGUUCUGGCCUGUGGUAUCCUGAGGCUCUGUCUGGGGGUAAGUGCAUCCUGGUGCCCCAUUGGCUUGGAAGAUGGGAAGGGUGGUGAGAUCCCACUGUGUGCCCUCCUGGGGAACAUCGCAGGUGCUGGGCC
rnacentral:lncRNA from 10 species